rnacentral:rRNA from 1 species
UACGUAGGGUGCGAGCGUUGUCCGGAAUUAUUGGGCGUAAAGGGCUCGUAGGCGGUUUGUCGCGUCGGGAGUGAAAACUCGGGGCUUAACCCCGAGCCUGCUUCCGAUACGGGCAGACUAGAGGUAGGCAGGGGAGAGCGGAACUCCUGGUGUAGCGGUGGAAUGCGCAGAUAUCAGGAGGAACACCGGUGGCGAAGGCGGGUCUCUGGGCCGUAACUGACGCUGAGGAGCGAAAGCAUGGGGAGCGAACAGG